GAUGAACGCUGGCGGCGUGCUUAACACAUGCAAGUCGAACGAUGAAAGCGGGAGCUUGCUCCUGCUGGAUUAGUGGCGAACGGGUGAGUAACACGUGAGCAAUCUGCCCCGAACUCUGGGAUAAGCGUUGGAAACGACGUCUAAUACCGGAUACGACGCGCGAAGGCAUCUUCUGCGCGUGGAAAGAACUUCGGUUCGGGAUGAGCUCGCGGCCUAUCAGCUAGUUGGUGAGGUAACGGCUCACCAAGGCGACGACGGGUAGCCGGCCUGAGAGGGUGACCGGCCACACUGGGACUGAGACACGGCCCAGACUCCUACGGGAGGCAGCAGUGGGGAAUAUUGGACAAUGGGGGCAACCCUGAUCCAGCAAUGCCGCGUGAGUGAUGAAGGCCUCCGGGUCGUAAACUCCUGUCAGAGGUGAAGAAUCCCGCAAGGGUUGACGGUAACCUCAGAGGAAGCCCCGGCUAACUACGUGCCAGCCGCCGCCGUAAUAC
rnacentral:rRNA from 1 species